UCUCAGGGAUGGCACUCUGUCUACUUGUGUUUUGGACCAUGAGACAGUGCGUCCUCCCUCAGAU
rfam:Biomphalaria glabrata isolate BB02 unplaced genomic scaffold LGTN_random_Scaffold2100, whole genome shotgun sequence.